GAUGAACGCUGGCGGCGUGCCUAAUACAUGCAAGUCGAGCGAACGGACGAGAAGCUUGCUUCUCUGACGUUAGCGGCGGACGGGUGAGUAACACGUGGAUAACCUACCUAUAAGACUGGGAUAACUUCGGGAAACCGGAGCUAAUACCGGAUAAUAUCUUGAACCGCAUGGUUCAAAAGCGAAAGACGGUCUUGCUGUCACUUAUAGAUGGAUCCGCGCUGCAUUAGCUAGUUGGUAAGGUAACGGCUUACCAAGGCAACGAGGCAUAGCCGACCUGAGAGGGUGAUAGCCGACACUGGAAAGUAGACACGGUCCAGACGCCUACGGGAGGCAGCAGUAGGCAAUGUUCCGCAAUAGGCGAAAACCUGGAAGAGCAACGCCGCGUGAGUGAUGAAGGUGUUCGGAUCGGAAAACUCUGUUAUUAGGGAAGAACAUAUGUGUAAGUAACUGUGCACAUCUUGACGGUACCUAGUCAGAAAGCCACGGCUAACUACGUG
rnacentral:rRNA from 1 species